CAUUUCCUUCUUGAAAUAUCUCGGCGUGUUGUGAAGGGGAUGCUGAUUUGGUUGUAGAAGGAGAUCAUGUCAGUCCAGGGCCGCGUCUGAGGCCUCAGCUCUCGGCCCAGGGAAGAGGCCGUUGCGGCGGAAGCGGUCAGCCUGGAGGAAAGAUGUUGUCUUUGAUCCUUGAGCCAGCUCUGCCCCUGUCCGGUGCACACCCUGACCGUCGCUGGGCCUCAGUUUCCCCCUCUGUAUUUCCGGGCUGUCCAGAGGUAGACCGGGAAGGUUCCUUGAGGCCCACUGAGGCUGGGUUUUUGAGCUCAGUGCUGGAGCGGCCCAGCCCUUGGGGCUGCGUGGGAGCCCCCAAUAGCAGCAGUUUCUGUGCCCGGAGGUGGGCCAGAGGGCUGGCCAGAGGACAGUGUGUUCCCUGCCGGUCCACCGCGCCCUCCCGGCCUGAAGGCCGUGGCAGCAGCAGGUGGAAGCGAGAGAGACUGCUGCCCGCAUCGAUGUCCCUGUCGGUCAUCCCCCCUCCCCAUCCCAGACUUCAGGCCACGUCCCUGGCCCAACACAGAGCCAGCAGCCCUGCUCCCAGCUUCCAGCCCCCUCCGCAGGAGUCACG
rnacentral:lncRNA from 1 species